rnacentral:lncRNA from 1 species
UGACAUUGUAUGUUCUUUAGGAUAUAAGUAUAUAUUUAUUUAAUUUUGAUGUUCAAUGCAUAUCUUUCUAAACUAUUUAAUGUCAAGGUUUGUUAAUCAUUACAUGUUCGAUUGAUUUAUAUAAGUUAGGAUGUACUUAAUAGAAAUAUUUAGCUUACACUAUUUAAUAGAAAUCUCUUGUUCAUGAUCACUUUAUGAUUGUAUAAACAAAAUACAAAGAGUAAAAAAAUACGUACACAUGAUAAAUUGUCAUAUUUUCCUUUUUUUUCUUUCUUUUAUGAGUCAUUUUCUUUCUUAUCUAUCACAUGUACAGAUCAAGUGAUUUCUGAUAUAGGUUGAUCUUUUGAAGGUUACACAUCUCUAACUUGUUUAUUUUGUCACUCUAUUCAUCUCUGUUUCCUCUUAUUUUCAAUUUUAUUCUUGCCUCACCAAUGAUUAUGAUCGGGUUUUUUGUAUUGUUUUGAUGAGAUUGAGAUGUUUGUUAGGAUUAUGAGGAUCUCAUAAUAAUAAAGGUGAUGCUAAUGUAACACUGGAAAAAUGAUUGAGUUGGUUUCCUUUAUACCACACGAUCUCAUUUUCAUUUUCUUAUAAUUAUUCUGUUUUCUUUUUUUCUUUUUCAUUUUCUACUUAUAAUUAGUAUUUUAGCAUAUUUUUUAAUCUGUAUAACUUAUGUUAAUUGUUUAAUUAUCAGAAUAUAGAAGAUGACAUUGUAUGUUCUUUAGGAUAUAAGUAUAUAUUUAAUUAAUUUUGAUGUUCAAUACAUAUCUUUCUAAACUAUUUAAUGUCAAGGUUUGUUAAUCAUUACAUGUUCGAUUGAUUUAUAUAAGUGAGGAUGUACUUAAUAGAAAUAUUUAGCUUACACUAUUUAAUAGAAAUCUCUUGUUCAUGAUCACUUUAUGAUUGUAUAAACAAAAUACAAAGGGUAAAAAAAUACGUACACUUGAUAAAUUGUCAUAUUUUCCUUUUUUUUCUUUCUUUUAUGAGUCAUUUUCUUUCUUAUCUAUCAAAUGUACAGAUCAAGUGAUUUCUGAUAUAGGUUGAUCUUUUGAAGGUUACACAUCUCUAACUUGUUUAUUUUGUCACUCUAUUCAUCUGUGUUUCCUCUUAUUUUCAAUUUUAUUCUUGCCUCACCAAUGAUUAUGAUCGGGUUUUUUGUAUUGUUUUGAUGAGAUUGAGAUGUUUGUUAGGAUUAUGAGGAUCUCACAAUAAUAAAGGUGAUGCUAAUGUAACACUGGAAAAAUGAUUGAGUUGGUUUCCUUUAUACCACACGAUCUCAUUUUCAUUUUCUUAUAAUUAUUCUGUUUUCUUUUUUUCUUUUUCAUUUUCUACUUAUAAUUAGUAUUUUAGCAUAUUUUUUAAUCUGUAUAACUUAUGUUAAUUGUUUAAUUAUCAGAAUAUAGAAGAUGACAUUGUAUGUUCUUUAGGAUAUAAGUAUAUAUUUAAUUAAUUUUGAUGUUCAAUACAUAUCUUUCUAAACUAUUUAAUGUCAAGGUUUGUUAAUCAUUACAUGUUCGAUUGAUUUAUAUAAGUGAGGAUGUACUUAAUAGAAAUAUUUAGCUUACACUAUUUAAUAGAAAUCUCUUGUUCAUGAUCACUUUAUGAUUGUAUAAACAAAAUACAAAGGGUAAAAAAAUACGUACACUUGAUAAAUUGUCAUAUUUUCCUUUUUUUUCUUUCUUUUAUGAGUCAUUUUCUUUCUUAUCUAUCAAAUGUACAGAUCAAGUGAUUUCUGAUAUAGGUUGAUCUUUUGAAGGUUACACAUCUCUAACUUGUUUAUUUUGUCACUCUAUUCAUCUGUGUUUCCUCUUAUUUUCAAUUUUAUUCUUGCCUCACCAAUGAUUAUGAUCGGGUUUUUUGUAUUGUUUUGAUGAGAUUGAGAUGUUUGUUAGGAUUAUGAGGAUCUCACAAUAAUAAAGGUGAUGCUAAUGUAACACUGGAAAAAUGAUUGAGUUGGUUUCCUUUAUACCACACGAUCUCAUUUUCAUUUUCUUAUAAUUAUUCUGUUUUCUUUUUUUCUUUUUCAUUUUCUACUUAUAAUUAGUAUUUUAGCAUAUUUUUUAAUCUGUAUAACUUAUGUUAAUUGUUUAAUUAUCAGAAUAUAGAAGAUGACAUUGUAUGUUCUUUAGGAUAUAAGUAUAUAUUUAAUUAAUUUUGAUGUUCAAUACAUAUCUUUCUAAACUAUUUAAUGUCAAGGUUUGUUAAUCAUUACAUGUUCGAUUGAUUUAUAUAAGUGAGGAUGUACUUAAUAGAAAUAUUUAGCUUACACUAUUUAAUAGAAAUCUCUUGUUCAUGAUCACUUUAUGAUUGUAUAAACAAAAUACAAAGGGUAAAAAAAUACGUACACUUGAUAAAUUGUCAUAUUUUCCUUUUUUUUCUUUCUUUUAUGAGUCAUUUUCUUUCUUAUCUAUCAAAUGUACAGAUCAAGUGAUUUCUGAUAUAGGUUGAUCUUUUGAAGGUUACACAUCUCUAACUUGUUUAUUUUGUCACUCUAUUCAUCUGUGUUUCCUCUUAUUUUCAAUUUUAUUCUUGCCUCACCAAUGAUUAUGAUCGGGUUUUUUGUAUUGUUUUGAUGAGAUUGAGAUGUUUGUUAGGAUUAUGAGGAUCUCACAAUAAUAAAGGUGAUGCUAAUGUAACACUGGAAAAAUGAUUGAGUUGGUUUCCUUUAUACCACACGAUCUCAUUUUCAUUUUCUUAUAAUUAUUCUGUUUUCUUUUUUUCUUUUUCAUUUUCUACUUAUAAUUAGUAUUUUAGCAUAUUUUUUAAUCUGUAUAACUUAUGUUAAUUGUUUAAUUAUCAGAAUAUAGAAGAUGACAUUGUAUGUUCUUUAGGAUAUAAGUAUAUAUUUAAUUAAUUUUGAUGUUCAAUACAUAUCUUUCUAAACUAUUUAAUGUCAAGGUUUGUUAAUCAUUACAUGUUCGAUUGAUUUAUAUAAGUGAGGAUGUACUUAAUAGAAAUAUUUAGCUUACACUAUUUAAUAGAAAUCUCUUGUUCAUGAUCACUUUAUGAUUGUAUAAACAAAAUACAAAGGGUAAAAAAAUACGUACACUUGAUAAAUUGUCAUAUUUUCCUUUUUUUUCUUUCUUUUAUGAGUCAUUUUCUUUCUUAUCUAUCAAAUGUACAGAUCAAGUGAUUUCUGAUAUAGGUUGAUCUUUUGAAGGUUACACAUCUCUAACUUGUUUAUUUUGUCACUCUAUUCAUCUGUGUUUCCUCUUAUUUUCAAUUUUAUUCUUGCCUCACCAAUGAUUAUGAUCGGGUUUUUUGUAUUGUUUUGAUGAGAUUGAGAUGUUUGUUAGGAUUAUGAGGAUCUCACAAUAAUAAAGGUGAUGCUAAUGUAACACUGGAAAAAUGAUUGAGUUGGUUUCCUUUAUACCACACGAUCUCAUUUUCAUUUUCUUAUAAUUAUUCUGUUUUCUUUUUUUCUUUUUCAUUUUCUACUUAUAAUUAGUAUUUUAGCAUAUUUUUUAAUCUGUAUAACUUAUGUUAAUUGUUUAAUUAUCAGAAUAUAGAAGAUGACAUUGUAUGUUCUUUAGGAUAUAAGUAUAUAUUUAAUUAAUUUUGAUGUUCAAUACAUAUCUUUCUAAACUAUUUAAUGUCAAGGUUUGUUAAUCAUUACAUGUUCGAUUGAUUUAUAUAAGUGAGGAUGUACUUAAUAGAAAUAUUUAGCUUACACUAUUUAAUAGAAAUCUCUUGUUCAUGAUCACUUUAUGAUUGUAUAAACAAAAUACAAAGGGUAAAAAAAUACGUACACUUGAUAAAUUGUCAUAUUUUCCUUUUUUUUCUUUCUUUUAUGAGUCAUUUUCUUUCUUAUCUAUCAAAUGUACAGAUCAAGUGAUUUCUGAUAUAGGUUGAUCUUUUGAAGGUUACACAUCUCUAACUUGUUUAUUUUGUCACUCUAUUCAUCUGUGUUUCCUCUUAUUUUCAAUUUUAUUCUUGCCUCACCAAUGAUUAUGAUCGGGUUUUUUGUAUUGUUUUGAUGAGAUUGAGAUGUUUGUUAGGAUUAUGAGGAUCUCACAAUAAUAAAGGUGAUGCUAAUGUAACACUGGAAAAAUGAUUGAGUUGGUUUCCUUUAUACCACACGAUCUCAUUUUCAUUUUCUUAUAAUUAUUCUGUUUUCUUUUUUUCUUUUUCAUUUUCUACUUAUAAUUAGUAUUUUAGCAUAUUUUUUAAUCUGUAUAACUUAUGUUAAUUGUUUAAUUAUCAGAAUAUAGAAGAUGACAUUGUAUGUUCUUUAGGAUAUAAGUAUAUAUUUAAUUAAUUUUGAUGUUCAAUACAUAUCUUUCUAAACUAUUUAAUGUCAAGGUUUGUUAAUCAUUACAUGUUCGAUUGAUUUAUAUAAGUGAGGAUGUACUUAAUAGAAAUAUUUAGCUUACACUAUUUAAUAGAAAUCUCUUGUUCAUGAUCACUUUAUGAUUGUAUAAACAAAAUACAAAGGGUAAAAAAAUACGUACACUUGAUAAAUUGUCAUAUUUUCCUUUUUUUUCUUUCUUUUAUGAGUCAUUUUCUUUCUUAUCUAUCAAAUGUACAGAUCAAGUGAUUUCUGAUAUAGGUUGAUCCUUUGAAGGUUACACAUCUCUAACUUGUUUAUUUUGUCACUCUAUUCAUCUGUGUAUCCUCUUAUUUUCAAUUUUAUUCUUGCCUCACCAAGGAUUAUGAUCGGGUUUUUUGUAUUGUUUUGAUGAGAUUGAGAUGUUUGUUAGGAUUAUGAGGAUCUCACAAUAAUAAAGGUGAUGCUAAUGUAACCCUGGUAAAAUGAUUGAGUUGGUUGCCUUUAUACCACAUGAUCUCAUUUUCAUUUUCUUAUAAUUAUUCUGUUUUCUUUUUUCUUUUUCAUUUUCUACUUAUAGAUAGUAUUUUAGCAUAUUUUUUAAUCUGUAUAACUUAUGUUAAUUGUUUAAUUAUCAGAAUAUAGAAGAUAACAUUCUAUGUUCUUUAGGACAUAAGUAUAUAUUUAAUUAAUUUUGAUGUUCAAUACAUAUCUUUCUAAACUAUUUAAUGUCAAGCUUUGUUAAUCAUUACAUGUUCGAUUGAUUUAUAUAAGUGAGGAUGUACUUAAUAGAAAUAUUUAACUUACACUAUUUAAUAGAAAUCUCUUGUUCAUGAUCACUUUAUGAUUGUAUAAACAAAAUACAAAGGGUAAAAAAAUACGUACACUUGAUAAAUUGUCAUAUUUUCCUUUUUUUUCUUUCUUUUCUGAGUCAUUUUCUUUCUUAUCUAUCAAAUGUACAGAUCAAGUGAUUUCUGAUAUAGGUUGAUCUUUUGAAGGUUACACAUCUCUAACUUGUUUAUUUUGUCACUCUAUUCAUCUGUGUUUCCUCUUAUUUUCAAUUUUAUUCUUGCCUCACCAAUGAUUAUGAUCGGGUUUUUUGUAUUGUUUUGAUGAGAUUGAGAUGUUUGUUAGGAUUAUGAGGAUCUCACAAUAAUAAAGGUGAUGCUAAUGUAACACUGGAAAAAUGAUUGAGUUGGUUUCCUUUAUACCACAUGAUCUCAUGUUCAUUUUCUUAUAAUUAUUCUUUUUUCUUUUUUCUUUUUCAUUUUUUACUUGUAAUUAGUAUUUUAACAUAUUUUUUUAUCUGUAUAACUUAUGUUAAUUGUUUAAUUAUCAGAAUAUAGAAGAUGACAUUGUAUGUUCUUUAGGAUAUAAGUAUAUAUUUAAUUAAUUUUAAUGUUCAAUACAUAUCUUUCUAACUAUUUAAUGUCAAGGUUUCUUAAUCAUUACAUGUUCGAUUGAUUUAUAUAAGUGAGGAUGUACUUAAAAGAAAUAUUUAGCUUACACUAUUUAAUAGAAAUCUCUUGUUCAUGAUCACUUUAUGAUUGUAUAAACAAAAUACAAAGUGUAAAAAAUACGUACACUUGAUAAAUUGUCAUAUUUUCCUUUUUUUUCUAUCUUUUAUGAGUCAUUUUCUUUCUAAUCUAUCAAAUGUACAGAUCAAGUGAUUUCUGAUAUAGGUUGAUCCUUUGAAGGUUACACAUCUCUAACUUGUUUAUUUUGUCACUCUAUUCAUCUGUGUAUCCUCUUAUUUUCAAUUUUAUUCUUUCCUCACCAAUGAUUAUGAUCGGGUUUUUUGUAUUGUUUUAUUGAGAUUGAGAUGUUUGUUAGGAUUAUGAGGAUCUCACAGUAAUAAAGGUGAUGCUAUUGUAACACUGGAAAAAUGAUUGAGUUGGUUUCCUUUAUACGACACGAUCUCAUUUUCAUUUUCUUAUAAUUAUUCUGUUUUCUUGUUUUCUUUUUCAUUUUCUACUUAUAAUUAGUAUUUUUGCAUAUUUUUUAAUCUGUAUAACUUAUGUUAAUUGUUUAAUUAUCAGAAUAUAGAAGAUGACAUUGUAUGUUCUUUAGGAUAUAAGUAUAUAUUUAAUUAAUUUUGAUGUUCAAUACAUAUCUUUCUAAACUAUUUAAUGUCAAGGUUUGUUAAUCAUUACAUGUUCGAUUGAUUUAUAUAAGUGAGGAUGUACUUAAUAGAAAUAUUUAGCUUACACUAUUUAAUAGAAAUCUCUUGUUCAUGAUCACUUUAUGAUUGUAUAAACAAAAUACAAAGGGUAAAAAAAUACGUACACUUGAUAAAUUGUCAUAUUUUCCUUUUUUUUCUUUCUUUUAUGAGUCAUUUUCUUUCUUAUCUAUCAAAUGUACAGAUCAAGUGAUUUCUGAUAUAGGUUGAUCUUUUGAAGGUUACACAUCUCUAACUUGUUUAUUUUGUCACUCUAUUCAUCUGUGUUUCCUCUUAUUUUCAAUUUUAUUCUUGCCUCACCAAUGAUUAUGAUCGGGUUUUUUGUAUUGUUUUGAUGAGAUUGAGAUGUUUGUUAGGAUUAUGAGGAUCUCACAAUAAUAAAGGUGAUGCUAAUGUAACACUGGAAAAAUGAUUGAGUUGGUUUCCUUUAUACCACACGAUCUCAUUUUCAUUUUCUUAUAAUUAUUCUGUUUUCUUUUUUUCUUUUUCAUUUUCUACUUAUAAUUAGUAUUUUAGCAUAUUUUUUAAUCUGUAUAACUUAUGUUAAUUGUUUAAUUAUCAGAAUAUAGAAGAUGACAUUGUAUGUUCUUUAGGAUAUAAGUAUAUAUUUAAUUAAUUUUGAUGUUCAAUACAUAUCUUUCUAAACUAUUUAAUGUCAAGGUUUGUUAAUCAUUACAUGUUCGAUUGAUUUAUAUAAGUGAGGAUGUACUUAAUAGAAAUAUUUAGCUUACACUAUUUAAUAGAAAUCUCUUGUUCAUGAUCACUUUAUGAUUGUAUAAACAAAAUACAAAGGGUAAAAAAAUACGUACACUUGAUAAAUUGUCAUAUUUUCCUUUUUUUUCUUUCUUUUAUGAGUCAUUUUCUUUCUUAUCUAUCAAAUGUACAGAUCAAGUGAUUUCUGAUAUAGGUUGAUCUUUUGAAGGUUACACAUCUCUAACUUGUUUAUUUUGUCACUCUAUUCAUCUGUGUUUCCUCUUAUUUUCAAUUUUAUUCUUGCCUCACCAAUGAUUAUGAUCGGGUUUUUUGUAUUGUUUUGAUGAGAUUGAGAUGUUUGUUAGGAUUAUGAGGAUCUCACAAUAAUAAAGGUGAUGCUAAUGUAACACUGGAAAAAUGAUUGAGUUGGUUUCCUUUAUACCACACGAUCUCAUUUUCAUUUUCUUAUAAUUAUUCUGUUUUCUUUUUUUCUUUUUCAUUUUCUACUUAUAAUUAGUAUUUUAGCAUAUUUUUUAAUCUGUAUAACUUAUGUUAAUUGUUUAAUUAUCAGAAUAUAGAAGAUGACAUUGUAUGUUCUUUAGGAUAUAAGUAUAUAUUUAAUUAAUUUUGAUGUUCAAUACAUAUCUUUCUAAACUAUUUAAUGUCAAGGUUUGUUAAUCAUUACAUGUUCGAUUGAUUUAUAUAAGUGAGGAUGUACUUAAUAGAAAUAUUUAGCUUACACUAUUUAAUAGAAAUCUCUUGUUCAUGAUCACUUUAUGAUUGUAUAAACAAAAUACAAAGGGUAAAAAAAUACGUACACUUGAUAAAUUGUCAUAUUUUCCUUUUUUUUCUUUCUUUUAUGAGUCAUUUUCUUUCUUAUCUAUCAAAUGUACAGAUCAAGUGAUUUCUGAUAUAGGUUGAUCUUUUGAAGGUUACACAUCUCUAACUUGUUUAUUUUGUCACUCUAUUCAUCUGUGUUUCCUCUUAUUUUCAAUUUUAUUCUUGCCUCACCAAUGAUUAUGAUCGGGUUUUUUGUAUUGUUUUGAUGAGAUUGAGAUGUUUGUUAGGAUUAUGAGGAUCUCACAAUAAUAAAGGUGAUGCUAAUGUAACACUGGAAAAAUGAUUGAGUUGGUUUCCUUUAUACCACACGAUCUCAUUUUCAUUUUCUUAUAAUUAUUCUGUUUUCUUUUUUUCUUUUUCAUUUUCUACUUAUAAUUAGUAUUUUAGCAUAUUUUUUAAUCUGUAUAACUUAUGUUAAUUGUUUAAUUAUCAGAAUAUAGAAGAUGACAUUGUAUGUUCUUUAGGAUAUAAGUAUAUAUUUAAUUAAUUUUGAUGUUCAAUACAUAUCUUUCUAAACUAUUUAAUGUCAAGGUUUGUUAAUCAUUACAUGUUCGAUUGAUUUAUAUAAGUGAGGAUGUACUUAAUAGAAAUAUUUAGCUUACACUAUUUAAUAGAAAUCUCUUGUUCAUGAUCACUUUAUGAUUGUAUAAACAAAAUACAAAGGGUAAAAAAAUACGUACACUUGAUAAAUUGUCAUAUUUUCCUUUUUUUUCUUUCUUUUAUGAGUCAUUUUCUUUCUUAUCUAUCAAAUGUACAGAUCAAGUGAUUUCUGAUAUAGGUUGAUCUUUUGAAGGUUACACAUCUCUAACUUGUUUAUUUUGUCACUCUAUUCAUCUGUGUUUCCUCUUAUUUUCAAUUUUAUUCUUGCCUCACCAAUGAUUAUGAUCGGGUUUUUUGUAUUGUUUUGAUGAGAUUGAGAUGUUUGUUAGGAUUAUGAGGAUCUCACAAUAAUAAAGGUGAUGCUAAUGUAACACUGGAAAAAUGAUUGAGUUGGUUUCCUUUAUACCACACGAUCUCAUUUUCAUUUUCUUAUAAUUAUUCUGUUUUCUUUUUUUCUUUUUCAUUUUCUACUUAUAAUUAGUAUUUUAGCAUAUUUUUUAAUCUGUAUAACUUAUGUUAAUUGUUUAAUUAUCAGAAUAUAGAAGAUGACAUUGUAUGUUCUUUAGGAUAUAAGUAUAUAUUUAAUUAAUUUUGAUGUUCAAUACAUAUCUUUCUAAACUAUUUAAUGUCAAGGUUUGUUAAUCAUUACAUGUUCGAUUGAUUUAUAUAAGUGAGGAUGUACUUAAUAGAAAUAUUUAGCUUACACUAUUUAAUAGAAAUCUCUUGUUCAUGAUCACUUUAUGAUUGUAUAAACAAAAUACAAAGGGUAAAAAAAUACGUACACUUGAUAAAUUGUCAUAUUUUCCUUUUUUUUCUUUCUUUUAUGAGUCAUUUUCUUUCUUAUCUAUCAAAUGUACAGAUCAAGUGAUUUCUGAUAUAGGUUGAUCUUUUGAAGGUUACACAUCUCUAACUUGUUUAUUUUGUCACUCUAUUCAUCUGUGUUUCCUCUUAUUUUCAAUUUUAUUCUUGCCUCACCAAUGAUUAUGAUCGGGUUUUUUGUAUUGUUUUGAUGAGAUUGAGAUGUUUGUUAGGAUUAUGAGGAUCUCACAAUAAUAAAGGUGAUGCUAAUGUAACACUGGAAAAAUGAUUGAGUUGGUUUCCUUUAUACCACACGAUCUCAUUUUCAUUUUCUUAUAAUUAUUCUGUUUUCUUUUUUUCUUUUUCAUUUUCUACUUAUAAUUAGUAUUUUAGCAUAUUUUUUAAUCUGUAUAACUUAUGUUAAUUGUUUAAUUAUCAGAAUAUAGAAGAUGACAUUGUAUGUUCUUUAGGAUAUAAGUAUAUAUUUAAUUAAUUUUGAUGUUCAAUACAUAUCUUUCUAAACUAUUUAAUGUCAAGGUUUGUUAAUCAUUACAUGUUCGAUUGAUUUAUAUAAGUGAGGAUGUACUUAAUAGAAAUAUUUAGCUUACACUAUUUAAUAGAAAUCUCUUGUUCAUGAUCACUUUAUGAUUGUAUAAACAAAAUACAAAGGGUAAAAAAAUACGUACACUUGAUAAAUUGUCAUAUUUUCCUUUUUUUUCUUUCUUUUAUGAGUCAUUUUCUUUCUUAUCUAUCAAAUGUACAGAUCAAGUGAUUUCUGAUAUAGGUUGAUCUUUUGAAGGUUACACAUCUCUAACUUGUUUAUUUUGUCACUCUAUUCAUCUGUGUUUCCUCUUAUUUUCAAUUUUAUUCUUGCCUCACCAAUGAUUAUGAUCGGGUUUUUUGUAUUGUUUUGAUGAGAUUGAGAUGUUUGUUAGGAUUAUGAGGAUCUCACAAUAAUAAAGGUGAUGCUAAUGUAACACUGGAAAAAUGAUUGAGUUGGUUUCCUUUAUACCACACGAUCUCAUUUUCAUUUUCUUAUAAUUAUUCUGUUUUCUUUUUUUCUUUUUCAUUUUCUACUUAUAAUUAGUAUUUUAGCAUAUUUUUUAAUCUGUAUAACUUAUGUUAAUUGUUUAAUUAUCAGAAUAUAGAAGAUGACAUUGUAUGUUCUUUAGGAUAUAAGUAUAUAUUUAAUUAAUUUUGAUGUUCAAUACAUAUCUUUCUAAACUAUUUAAUGUCAAGGUUUGUUAAUCAUUACAUGUUCGAUUGAUUUAUAUAAGUGAGGAUGUACUUAAUAGAAAUAUUUAGCUUACACUAUUUAAUAGAAAUCUCUUGUUCAUGAUCACUUUAUGAUUGUAUAAACAAAAUACAAAUGUAAAAAAAAUACGUACACUUGAUAAAUUGUCAUAUUUUCCUUUUUUUCUUUCUUUUAUGAGUCAUUUUCUUUAUGAUCUAUCAAAUGUAAAGAUCAAGUGAUUUCUGAUAUAGGUUGGUCUUUUGAAGGUUACACAUCUCUAACUUGUUUAUUUUGUCACUCUAUUCAUCUGUGUAUCCUCUUAUUUUCAAUUUUAUUCUUGCCUCACCAAUGAUUAUGAUCGGGUUUUUUGUAUUGUUUUGAUGAGAUUGAGAUGUUUGUAAGGAUUAUGAGGAUCUCACAAUAAUAAAGGUGAUGCUAAUGUAACCCUGGAAAAAUGAUUGAGUUGGUUUGCUUUAUACCACACGAUCUCAUUUUCAUUUUCUUAUAAUUAUUCUUUUUUCUUUUUUCUUUUUCAUUUUCUACUUAUAAUUAGAAUUUUAGCAUAUUUUUUAAUCUGUAUAACUUAUGUUAAUUGUUUAAUUAUCAGAAUAUAGAAGAUGACAUUGUAUGUUCUUUAGGAUAUAAGUAUAUAUUUAAUUAAUUUUAAUGUUCAAUACAUAUCUUUCUAAACUAUUUAAUGUCAAGGUUUGUUAAUCAUUACAUGUUCGAUUGAUUGAUAUAAUUGAGGAUGUACUUAAUAGAAAUAUUGAGCUUACACUAUUUAAUAGAAAUCUCUUGUUCAUGAUCACUUUAUGAUUGUAUAAACAAAAUACAAAGGGUAAAAAAAUACGUACACUUGAUAAAUUGUCAUAUUUUCCUUUUUUUUUCUUUCUUUUCUGAGUCAUUUUCUUUCUUAUCUAUCAAAUAUACAGAUCA